rnacentral:rRNA from 1 species
UGGGGAAUAUUGCACAAUGGGCGCAAGCCUGAUGCAGCGACGCCGCGUGGGGGAUGACGGCCUUCGGGUUGUAAACUCCUUUCGCUAGGGACGAAGCUUUUUGUGACGGUACCUAGAUAAGAAGCACCGGCUAACUACGUGCCAGCAGCCGCGGUAAUACGUAGGGUGCGAGCGUUGUCCGGAAUUACUGGGCGUAAAGGGCUCGUAGGUGGUUUGUCGCGUCGUCUGUGAAAUUCCGGGGCUUAACUCCGGGCGUGCAGGCGAUACGGGCAUAACUUGAGUACUGUAGGGGUAACUGGAAUUCCUUGUGUAGCGGUGAAAUGCGCAGAUAUCAGGAGGAACACCGAUGGCGAAGGCAGGUUACUGGGCAGUUACUGACGCUGAGGAGCGAAAGCAUGGGUAGCGAACAGG